UACGGGGGGGGUAAGCGUUGUUCGGAAUUACUGGGCGUAAAGGGCUCGUAGGCGGCCAACUAAGUCCGACGUGAAAUCCCUCAGCUUAACUGGGGAACUGCGCCUGAUACUGGAUGGCUUGGAUCCGGGAGAGGGAUGCGGAAUUCCAGGUGUAGCGGUGAAAUGCGUAGAUAUCUGGAGGAACACCGGUGGCGAAGGCGGCAUCCUGGACCGGUAUUGACGCUGAGGAGCGAAAGCAUGGGGAGCGAACGGG
rnacentral:rRNA from 1 species